rnacentral:rRNA from 1 species
GAAGGAUCAUUAUCGAAUCAAUCAAGGCUGUUGCUGGCGCCGUCGAGUGCAUGUGCACGCUUCUUUGUUUUCUCCCACUGUGCACAAACCUGUAGACACCCUUUCCUGAGGAUUGCCGUGCGAGAGCCGGCUCUCCUUGUUGUCUAUGCUUUCACAACCUAUGAAUGUAUCUAGAAUGCUUUGAAUCUGGGGAAUACACAUACAACUUUCAGCAACGGAUCUCUUGGCUCUCGCAUCGAUGAAGAACGCAGCGAAAUGCGAUAAGUAAUGUGAAUUGCAGAAUUCAGUGAAUCAUCGAAUCUUUGAACGCAUCUUGCGCUCCUUGGUAUUCCGAGGAGCAUGCCUGUUUGAGUGUCAUUUGAAACCUCUCAACCACCUUCAAGGUGGCUUGGAAAUGGGGGAUCGUUGCAGGCUUUUUUGAAGUCUGCUCCCCUGAAAUGCAUUAGUGGUGUCUGGGCUGACUGCCACAGGUGUGAUAACUAUCAGUGCCUUGGUGGGAGACCUUGCCGCUUCCAAUCCUCUGAUGACCAGCUUGACCUCAAAUCAGGUAGGAUUACCCGCUGAACUUAA